rnacentral:rRNA from 1 species
AUUGAACGCUAGCGGGAGGCUUUACACAUGCAAGUCGAACGAGUGGCGGACGGUUGAGUAAUAAAUCGGAACGUGCCCAGUAGCGGGGGAUAACUACUCGAAAGAGUGGCUAAUACCGCAUAAUAUUCGCGCGGCCAUACUCUGAUUAGCUAUUGGGUGGGGUAACUGCUCACCAAGGCCACGAUCCGUAGCUGGUAUGAGAGGACGACCAGCCUCACUGGUACUGAGACACGGCCCAGACUCCUGCGGGGUUCAGCAGUGGGGAAUUUUGGACGAUGGGGGAAACCCUGAUCCAGCCAUGCCGCGUGUAUGUGAAGGCCUUCGGGUUUUAAAGCACUUUUGGCAGAGAAGCGGUAUCUGCAGAAUAAGCACCGGCUAGCUCCGUGCCAGCAGCCGCGGUAAUAC